CUGCCCUCGCCUGGCGCUCUCCCUCUCACUCUCUCCUCCCUCCCUCUCCCUCCCGCACGCACACACGCACACACAUGACUCAAAGCUUGUUGUGGCGCGGUCACCUGAGAGAGAGAGAGAGAGAGAGAGAGAGAGAGAGAGAGAGAGAGAGAGAGAGAGAGAGAGAGAGAGAGAGAGAGAGAGAGAGAGAGAGAGAGAGAGGAAAAGAAGAAACACGCGUAACUUUUGCAAUCUUAAAACAUUUCCCAACCCACAAAAUAAUAAUAAUAAUAAUAAUAAUAAUAAUAAUAAUAAUAAUAAAAAUAAUAAUAAAAAUAAUAAACAAGAAAAAAAUACUAACAGUACAAAUAUGACACC